rnacentral:rRNA from 1 species
GAUGAACGCUGGCGGCGUGCCUAAUACAUGCAAGUCGAGCGGACAGACGAGGAGCUCUCCUGGCUGACGCUAGGGGCGGACGGGUGAGUAACACGUGGAUACCCUACAUUUAAGGCUAACAUAACUUCGGGAAACCGGAUACAACACCGGAUAAUAUAUUGAACGUCAUGGUUCUUUAGUGAAAGACGGUUUUGAUGACACUGAUAGAUGGUACCGCGCUGCAUUAGUUAGUUGGUAAGGUAACGGCUUACCAAGGCAACGAUGCGUAGCUGACCUGAGAGGAUGAUCAGCCACACUGGAACUGAGACACGGUCCAGACUCCUACGGGAGGCAGCAGUGGGGAAUCUUCGACAAUGGGCGAAAGCUUGACCGAGCAACGCCGCGUGAGUGAAGAAGGUCUUCGGAUCGUAAAGCUCUUUUAUUUGGGAAGAAGAAAAGUAAAUUAAACUCUGCCCGUUUUGACGGUACCUAAUGAAUAAGCCACGGCUAACUACGUG